rnacentral:rRNA from 1 species
UACGUAGGGCGCAAGCGUUUGUCCGGAAUUAUUGGGCGUAAAGAGCUCGUAGGCGGUUUGUCGCGUCUGCUGUGAAAACUCGAGGCUCAACCUCGGGCUUGCAGUGGGUACGGGCAGACUAGAGUGCGGUAGGGGUGACUGGAAUUCCUGGUGUAGCGGUGAAAUGCGCAGAUAUCAGGAGGAACACCGAUGGCGAAGGCAGGUCUCUGGGCAUUAACUGACGCUGGAGGAGCGAAAGCGUGGGGAGCGAACAGG